rnacentral:rRNA from 1 species
UGUGUAGGCGGCUUUCUAAGUUUGGUGUGAAAUCUCCCGGCUCAACUGGGAGGGUGCGCCGAAUACUGAAAGGCUAGAGUGCGGGAGAGGAGAGUGGAAUUCCUGGUGUAGCGGUGAAAUGCGUAGAUAUCAGGAGGAACACCGGUGGUGUAGACGGCUCUCUGGACCGUAACUGACGCUGAGACACGAAAGCGUGGGUAGCAAACAGGAUUAGAUACCCUGGUAGUCCACGCCCUAAACGAUGCAUAUUUGGUGUGGGUCAUUCAGUUGAUCCGUGCCGGAGCUAACGCGUUAAAUAUGCCGCCUGGGGAGUACAGUCGCAAGGCUGAA